rnacentral:rRNA from 1 species
CCUACGGGAGGCAGCAGUGGGGAAUUUUGGACAAUGGGCGAAAGCCUGAUCCAGCCAUGCCGCGUGCAGGAUGAAGGCCUUCGGGUUGUAAACUGCUUUUGUACGGAACGAAAAGACUCUGGUUAAUACCUGGGGUUCAUGACGGUACCGUAAGAAUAAGCACCGGCUAACUACGUGCCAGCAGCCGCGGUAAUACGUAGGGUGCAAGCGUUAAUCGGAAUUACUGGGCGUAAAGCGUGCGCAGGCGGUUAUAUAAGACAGAUGUGAAAUCCCCGGGCUCAACCUGGGAACUGCAUUUGUGACUGUAUAGCUAGAGUACGGCAGAGGGGGAUGGAAUUCCGCGUGUAGCAGUGAAAUGCGUAGAUAUGCGGAGGAACACCGAUGGCGAAGGCAAUCCCCUGGGCCUGUACUGACGCUCAUGCACGAAAGCGUGGGGAGCAAACAGGAUUAGAUACCCUGGUAGUCCACGCCCUAAACGAUGUCAACUGGUUGUUGGGUCUUCACUGACUCAGUAACGAAGCUAACGCGUGAAGUUGACCGCCUGGGGAGUACGGCCGCAAGGUUGAAACUCAAAUGAAUUGACGG